UUCUGAGGUUAUUACAGUCCUAAAAAGGGUGAAAUAAAUCCCUAACAGUUUGGUCCAUUCGAUCCGGAGCUCAAGAAGGACCAGAUGGACGGGAGCAGAAAUACGAAAGCCGAGAAAGAAGGACAGAGAAUGACCCUGCGUGUUGAAUUGUUCGUUGGGCCGGUUGACGGAUUUCUGCCCCCGCCUCACUGCCUUUGACGAGUUCCGAAUCCAGAUGAGACGCACAACAAGAAUAUUACAUACAAGGCCAGGUGAAGGUGAAGGUGACUGGGUGUUCAUCAAAAUCAUCAAAUGAAAGAGCUGGUCUGACGACAGGUGGGAGGGACAUAUCAAGUGUACUUGCCACCCCAACAGCCGUCAAGAUCGCUGAAUGCUCCACCUGGAUUCACCUGUCACACUGUCACACUGUAAACUUCGUUCAUUUUUUUUAGGAUGCACCACUAGCGUUGAGUAGGGUUUCGUGCCUACUUGAGGGGGUUGAGAAAUAUAGCUCUUUUCCGUCUUAACGUCACCUAACCUCCAGGGAGCGCUCUGAGGGUUAGAGAUUCUGGUCAACAUAGUAGAGGUGUAUCUGUGUUUAUUGUUUUUCUUGUUUAUUUGUGUUUAUUGUUUUUCUGUAUACAAUAUAUAACUCCGGUAAAACAAUGUUUAAACUGUUACUAUUAAUGAUUCAUUCAGGGGUAAUGUUGGGUCUAUGGUCCUCUAAAAGUGUAAUUGAGAGAAUCCAUAAGAGGUGGAUUUCAUAUGGGGAACGUUACUCAUCUGUAUUUUACUAAUUCAUUGUAUAGAUAUGCAUCUUUGCAAGCGAACAGACUUGAUAAGACCAAUUGCUAUGUAUGUACCUUAAUGCCAACAUCCUACUUUCACCCUAGACUUAAAUCAAGGCUACUCUCAUUCCAAGCAAUGAUCUGUGUUGGAGAGAAGUGUGCCCCAGACAACUGGGGCUACAGUAAGCCAUUUUAUGAUACAGACGAUACCCAGGUGCAGGAUCUGUGUAACAAUACCCACCCACUAGCAG
ensembl:lncRNA